AUCAGUUUCUAAUUGUGACUGUUUCUAUUAAUUGUCACACACACACACACACACACACACACACACACACACACACACACACACACACACACACACACACACACACACACACACACACACACACACACACACACACACACACACACACACACACAGAGCUAGUGUUGAAAGAGGAAGUGUGACAGAUAUCCCUUCCUCUUCUCCUCCUCACACUAAAUAUGUUCACAUUUAAACUAGUUCUGCUGACAGGCUUGACACACUCCUCUCAGAGGUUGGAUGAUAACAGCUCACACUGCAACGUGCACAAGUUCGCUUGGAUUAAAAACAAAAAACAAUCCUGAGAGGUGCUGACUGUGUCCACUCACACAUAUGGAAGCUGUGAUAGGACUUCUGCUUGUGUUGCUCCAAGUUUCAUUUGGUGUGGAAAAUCACUGUGAUGGCAGACAGAAUAACGCUCAGUGUUAUGCAGCUUUGGAUGGAUCUAUAUUCAUCAGGCUGAUGGACAGCGCUGUAGAAAAUCAUAUAUACAUGUGGUUUAAAUAUACAAGUAAAUUAUUGGUAGUGAAUAAUAAACGUGUUAUAAUGAAUACUUUAGAGAAGAGAGCAGAUUUUACUACACAAAAUGGUAUUUAUAGAAUAAAUCAACUAAAGUCGAGUGACAGUGGCCAGUAUCGACUUGAAUAUUUUGUAGAUGGGGGAAAAAAAGAAGAACGGAAACUAAAUUUGUCUGUUCAAGCUCCAGUAUCUUCUGUCCAGCUCGUCCCUACAUGUCUUUCUAUGGGGGAGAAGAAAGUUUCCUGCUCCUCUAAAGGGGACAGUCUUCUCUACAGCUGGACUCUGGAUGGACGCCCUCUAACAGACUCUGACCUCGUCCCAAAGGGCAACAACACCAACAAUGUCCACCUGAAACUACAAACUAUAGGAAAACUGGUCUGUCAUGUCCAAAACAAAGUCAGCAAAAGCUCUGGUGAAGUGACGUUAACCACUUGUGGUUACAUCUUCAUAAACUGCACUUUGUCCAAUGGGACAGACAUAUUGCAGUGGGUGGUUGAGGACACUAACACGUUGUGUGUUGACCCAACAACAGCCCCUAUGGGUAAGGAGCCUCCCAUUGAUUCAGGGACUGUGGCUCUGAUUGGGAUUUCACUCUCUGCUCUGGUCUGUAUCCUCCUUUUGGCUUUAGUCGUGAUCUGUGUUCAGAAGAAAAAGCCAAACAAACCAAAAGAACCACAGGAUGACCAGGAAUUAACCUACGCGGCUGUCAAAGUGGUUCAGAGGCCAGGGACGCUAGAGGUGCACAGGUCAGAGGUGGAGGUGGAGUACGGCGAAGUCAAGUUUUCACAGCAACCUCGACAGAUUCAAGUACCGCCAGAUGACUGUGUGUAUGCCAGAGUCUAUAAAUGAAAACAGGGCGUGGCUCUUUUUAUCACAGACAGAGGGCACGACAUGAUCUCAGGUUGCUUGAAGGGCUUCCCUGUUUAAUGAUGAAAAAUCUGGGUGUCACCGUUGAGAGGACUCCAAACCCACAUCAAUAAUACUUUUUACCCCCUCUACCACUGCCAUUCUUGUACAUACUCUUGUCAAUCACUGAAACUCCUGAAACGCCAAUGUCCAGAAUUAGAGUUACCUGCUCCACUGAUGUUCUUUAAAAAUUUGCAUCAACUACAAAAUCCUCCUUCUGACAUUUAAGGUCAUCUUAAGGUCAUCUUCAAUGUCACCCCUCUAUAUCAGUCCAGACUGACCCACACCAUCAGCUCACUAAUGUUAUUCAAAAUGAAGCUAAAAACCCAUCUGUUCAGGAUGGCCUUUCUCUCUGGGAUCACAACUGCUGUAUCUAAUCUUGAUAUGUUGAAUGUAAUGUUCUUGCACUGCCUUUUCACAAUAAUUUUAUUGUAAACAUUCCAUGUAUAGUGACCCUAAGUGCUAGAAAGAAGCCUUUUAUGAAAAUAAUGACAAUAAUAAUGUAAUGAAAAGGAUGUGAAUAUUGUUUUUGUUUGUAUUCCUUAAUAAUUGUUUUUGGUUUAAUUUAAACCACACCCAUGGGAGGGGCUAACCUGUUAAAAGCAGUGUAGGAAACUGCAUAGAGGGCAGUCUUUCUCUGGAGGUGCAUGUGGGAGCAAUGUACCUGAGCAUUUCUGAAAGCCUCUCAGCUGAAAGUAGAGCUGGGACCAGGUUGUGUUUUUUUUUUUUUUCUCUUGAUGUAAAUAUUUGUGUUCCACUGUAAAUAUUGAGCACCGGCACCAUUUUUGGAAAAAUAAAUGAAAGUCGACUUGCCA
ensembl:lncRNA